UACGUAGGGUGCGAGCGUUGUCCGGAAUUAUUGGGCGUAAAGAGCUCGUAGGCGGUUUGUCGCGUCUGCUGUGAAAACUCGGGGCUUAACUCCGGGCCUGCAGUGGGUACGGGCAGACUAGAGUGCGGUAGGGGAGACUGGAAUUCCUGGUGUAGCGGUGAAAUGCGCAGAUAUCAGGAGGAACACCGAUGGCGAAGGCAGGUCUCUGGGCCGCAACUGACGCUGAGGAGCGAAAGCAUGGGGAGCGAACAGG
rnacentral:rRNA from 1 species